AACGGUAGAGGUUGCGUGAUUCAUGAGUAUUCCAUCCGAUGUGGCUGGCACAGGCGAGGGUGGAAGAAGGGGGAGAACGCCGAAAGGAUUCUUUCACAGCGGGGAAUUCCUUGGGCAUGGGAUGAAUAAUUCUAUGACUGUCAUCUGUUUUGGAUGGGGCGCUAUCGGG
rnacentral:ncRNA from 1 species